rnacentral:rRNA from 1 species
AUUGAACGCUGGCGGCAUGCUUUACACAUGCAAGUCGAACGGCAGCGCGGGCUUCGGCCUGGCGGCGAGUGGCGAACGGGUGAGUAAUGCAUCGGAACGUGCCCAGUAGUGGGGGAUAGCCCGGCGAAAGCCGGAUUAAUACCGCAUACGACCUGAGGGUGAAAGCGGGGGACCGAAAGGCCUCGCGCUAUUGGAGCGGCCGAUGUCGGAUUAGCUAGUUGGUGGGGUAAAGGCUUACCAAGGCGACGAUCCGUAGCUGGUCUGAGAGGACGACCAGCCACACUGGGAGUGAGACACGGCCAAGACUCCUACGGGAGGCAGCAGUGGGGAAUUUUGGACAAUGGGGGCAACCCUGAUCCAGCCAUGCCGCGUGCGGGAAGAAGGCCUUCGGGUUGUAAACCGCUUUUGUUCGGGAAGAAAUCCUCUGGGCUAAUACCCCGGGGGGAUGACGGUACCGGAAGAAUAAGCACCGGCUAACUACGUG